GAUGAACGCUGGCGGUCUGCUUAACACAUGCAAGUCGAACGCAACCUUCGGGUUGAGUGGCGGACGGGUGAGUAACGCGUGAGAAUCUGCCUUGGGGUCGGGGACAACCACUGGAAACGGUGGCUAAUACCGGAUAAGCCUUUGGGUAAAAGAUUUAUUGCCCCAAGAGGAGCUCGCGUCUGAUUAGCUAGUUGGUGAGGUAAGAGCUCACCAAGGGCAGCGAUCAGGUAGCUGGUCUGAGAGGACGAUCAGCCACACUGGGACUGAGACACGUGCCAGACUCCUACGGGAGGCAGCAAGUGGGGAAUUUUCCGCAAUGGGUGAAAAGCCUUGACGGAGCAAGACCGCGUGAGGGAGGAAGGCUCUUGGGUUGUAAACCUCUUUUCUCAGGGAAGAAGCUCUGACGGUACCUGAGGAAUCAGCCUCG
rnacentral:rRNA from 1 species